CUUGCCUACGGGGCGCAGCAGUGGGGAAUAUUGCACAAUGGGGGGAACCCUGAUGCAGCAAUGCCGCGUGAAGGAUGAAGGUUUUCGGAUUGUAAACUUCUUUUGUACGGGACGAAGAAAGUGACGGUACCGUAAGAAUAAGCCACGGCUAACUACGUGCCAGCAGCCGCGGUAAUACGUAGGUGGCAAGCGUUAUCGGGAUUUACUGGGUGUAAAGGGCGAGUAGGCGGGAUUGCGAGUCAGAUGUGAAAACUAUGGGCUCAACCGAGAGAGUGCAUUUGAAACUGCAGUUCUUGAGUGAUGGG
rnacentral:rRNA from 1 species